rnacentral:rRNA from 1 species
UAGAUACCCUGGUAGUCCGCACGGUAAACGAUGGAUGCUCGCUGUUGGAUAUUUUUAUUCAGUGGCUAAGUGAAAACGUUAAGCAUCCCACCUGGGGAGUACGCCGGCAACGGUGAAACUCAAAGGAAUUGACGGGGGCCCGCACAAGCGGAGGAACAUGUGGUUUAAUUCGAUGAUACGCGAGGAACCUUACCCGGGCUUGAAUUGCAGCUGAACGAUCCAGAGAUGGUGAGGCCCUUCGGGGCAGCUG